AUCGCCUCUCAGCCUUUUGGCUAAGAUCAAGUGUGGUAUCUGUUCUUAACAGUUAAUAUCUUGAUAAGUCCUCUAUCCGAGGACACUACAUUAAAUGGAUUUUUGGGAUUACGAGAUGGAAUAAGAACUUGCUCUGUCCAUUCCAAGCAUCGACCUGGUAUUGCAGUACCUCCAGGAACGGUGCACCAAAA
rnacentral:snRNA from 1 species